rnacentral:rRNA from 1 species
AUGAAGGUCUCGCCCAUAUGCCCUACUUUCCCUCAGGGUCUAGAAGAUACGAAACACAUGUUGUUCCUAUGUAGUAAAGCAAGUGAGGUUUGGAAGAGGCUUGGGAUGGACGAGAAUAUUAACAAAGCCUGCAAGGUUUAUCGUGCUGGAGAGGCGAUAUUGGAAUAUCUUUUACUUCUCCCAGAUCAAGAUUUGAGUAUUAUGGGUUUCCAAAAUGUACGAGAAAUGAUAGCUAUAUUAGCUUGGUAUCUAUGGUGGGAAAGACAAAAAUUGGUGCAUAAGAAAUUAACUCAGAAUGUAACUCAGAUAUCAAUGGGGAUCAUGGCCCUUACAUCAAAUUUUGUGAAUGCUUCAUCUCCAAGAGCGUCCAUAAGAAAGGGGGGUUGGUACUGCCCUCCUAGGGGCUUCGUGAAACUAAAUGUUGACGCGUCUUUUGAUCAUGACAUGCUGACGGGGACGAUGGGAGCAGUCUUGAGAGACGACAAAGGUAGGUUUAUUGCGGGAGGAAAUGAAAAGAUCAAAUAUUGUACCUAUGUUCUGAUGGCAGAAGCUUUAGUCCUGAAAUUUGGCUUAACUUUGGCACAAAGAGCGGGAUGUAACCGCAUAAUCAUCAACUCAGACAAUAUGGAGGUGAUUGAGACCAUGUAG